GAAAAACAAAAACAAGUCAAAUUAUUUAUAGGGACUGACAGAUCCAUGGAAAUUAUCAUUUAAAUUUUGUCAAACGUUUCCGUCCAAACAGGGUGAAACUGUGGCAUAACCUAAGAUGGAUGAGAUCAAAGAACAGCCGCCUUUAAUGUGCCACAGACUCGUAAAAAAGAAGGAUUACCAAUCACAUUAUGCACUGACUAGUGAAUAAUUAGAUGUAGCUUUGGACCAAUCAAGCUGCCAGCCUGAUGUCAGAUACAUUAAGAAAGUUCAAAUCCUGAGUUGGAAUUGAUUGCAUAGAGGAGUUUUGAUCUCAAAGUACU
rnacentral:misc_RNA from 1 species